AAUUUACCCCAGACGGAGUCUAUUUUUGGUGCAGGGCUUCCUAAAAGCAGCAGCAGCUCAGUGUAAACUGCAUUAAACGCGAGGUAAUUAGUGUGCAGAGAGGAGACCGCAAACUACUAAUUGCGCUGCUCGUGCUCGCAACCUCCAGACUGCUCCAACCCACCUCCACACACGGCGUGGGGCCCGUGUCCGAACACGGAGCUCCAAAACAGUAAUUGUCAGCCGGGAAGAGACACAAAAACAAGUCUGAUAGCUAGCAUAGCAGGCCAAACGGUUCGGACUGUUCACGAGGCGCUGCACCAGCCGAAGCACAUUUACAUACGCGCUGAUUCACUGCAGGGCAGCCAUGUCCGGGCUUGAUUAGGACGUGCCGGGUCCCGCGCGUUAGGAAUGGAGACUCAGUUACGGGAUCACGCAGAGGCUCCCUGAGGCUUAGCAGGAGUUGCCGACGCAGACAAAGUCAGAGAAUCUGCGGUCUCUGAGGUCGACAGUAAAAGCUGCAUGUGAGAGUUAGCCCCCAGAAACUGCUGGUGCUGCAGCUUUUCUCUGAGCCGUCACCCAUCUACAAUGGAGGGACACCAGGAAGCGGAGCAGACACCCAGGAUGAGACUCAACACAGACUAGAAACAAACGCUGACAGGCGAAUGUGGAAAGCAAACAUGAUUAUUCCCACACAGACUUUUUUUAUGAUAAAAAUGACAGCAGCUGUUUUCCAGUAUUCUGGCACUUAAAUAAAACCAGUAAAAGAGAA